rnacentral:tRNA from 1 species
GGGCCUGUGGGCUAGCCAGGAUAUACUGCCAGCCUUCGGAGUUGGCGACGUGGGUUCGAAUCCCACCAGGCCCG